UACGAAGGGGGCUAGCGUUGUUCGGAUUUACUGGGCGUAAAGGGCGCGUAGGCGGGCUGAUCAGUCAGGGGUGAAAUCCCAAGGCUCAACCUUGGAACUGCCUUUGAUACUGUCGGUCUUGAGUUCGAGAGAGGUAAGUGGAACUGCGAGUGUAGAGGUGAAAUUCGUAGAUAUUCGGAAGAACACCAGUGGCGAAGGCGGCUCACUGGACCGGCAUUGACGCUGAGGUGCGAAAGCGUGGGGAGCAAACAGG
rnacentral:rRNA from 1 species